rnacentral:rRNA from 1 species
UACGAAGGGGGCUAGCGUUGUUCGGAAUUACUGGGCGUAAAGGGCGCGUAGGCUGUGCUGUAAGUCAGGCGUGAAAGCCCCGGGCUCAACCUGGGAAUUGCGUUUGAUACUGCGGCGCUGGAAGGUGGGAGAGGAUGGCGGAAUUCCCAGUGUAGAGGUGAAAUUCGUAGAUAUUGGGAAGAACACCGGUGGCGAAGGCGGCCAUCUGGCCCACAUUUGACGCUGAGGCGCGAAAGCGUGGGGAGCAAACAG